GGAAUGUCCUUCUGUGAUUUUGAUCAUUGACUUAUUUGUAUUAUCCUCCAACACUGUGGCACUCAAAGUGAUAACUCGGUCAGCUAUGAGUAGAUGUAUUGAUCAGCCUGCUUCAGUGCUCAAGUUGUAAGGUUUUCAGUCACACAAAGGUGCUGGACGUGGGAACUUUGAGAUCUUUUCUCACAUAUUGUUUGUUAUAGGAGAGAUCUUCUAUCAUUGUUGUGUC
rnacentral:lncRNA from 1 species